rnacentral:rRNA from 1 species
GACGAACGCUGGCGGCGUGCUUAACACAUGCAAGUCGAACGGAAAGGCCCUGCUUUUGUGGGGUGCUCGAGUGGCGAACGGGUGAGUAACACGUGAGUAACCUGCCCUUGACUUUGGGAUAACUUCAGGAAACUGGGGCUAAUACCGGAUAGGAGCUCCUGCUGCAUGGUGGGGGUUGGAAAGUUUCGGCGGUUGGGGAUGGACUCGCGGCUUAUCAGCUUGUUGGUGGGGUAGUGGCUUACCAAGGCUUUGACGGGUAGCCGGCCUGAGAGGGUGACCGGGCGUGGCUGGGGCGAGGGCAGGCCGCAGAGCGGGGGGGAGGGAGAGGGGGGGAAUAAGAAACACGGGGCGGCAGGCUGGUGGACACGCGGCGCGGGGGGGGUGGGGGCCUGCGGGUUGUAAGCCGCUGCCGCCUGUGGCGAGGAGUGGGGGAAGGUGAGGGGUAAAGAACCACCGGCUAACGAGGUGCCAGCGGCGGUGGGAAGAGAGAAGAAGAGCACAAAUCUCACC